rnacentral:lncRNA from 1 species
AUCUCUGUGCUCUGCUCCAUCUCUCAUCUCGCCGCGAGAUUCUCGCGCCUGUGCCUCCACUCUCCUCUCGACUGGACUGAUUCACCAUCGGCGUCGGCCGUUGCUCUCUAUUGGCUCUCCACGCGUCGUCGGGCAUUCGACAAUCUCUCAUCUCUAUGCUCUGCUCCAUCUCUCAUCUCACCGCGAGAUUCUCACACCUGUGCCUCCACUCUCCUCUCGACUGAACUGAUUCACCAUCAGCGUCGGUCGUUGCUCUCUAUCGGCUCUCCACGUGUCGUCGGGCAGUCGGCAAUUUGGUCGUGCUUAUUCCACAGCCCUCAGUCCUCUCCGAGUCCCUGUGUCGCGCUUCCAACCAUUCACAGUUGAACUUGAGUAAACUGUAAAAGGUAAGUAAAUAUUUGUGAUUUGCUGUUGAUUGUUGAAUUUGUGUGCUGUUGAUUGUUGAAGUUGUGUGCUCUUGAUUAUAUCGGUUUAACCGAUCGAACAGACCGAACCGAACCGAACCAAAUCGGUUUGAUUCGGUUAUCUCUCUUAUUCGGUUCGGUUCGGUUUAUAUAAAAUACUGCAAUUCGGUUUUCGGUUAUUUCGGUUCGGUUCGGUUUAUGUAAAAU